AAAAAAUUAAAAUUUUUAAAAAAUCGUAAAAAGUAACUAUCGCGGUAAAGUUUAGGCCUCAAAAUUUUUUAUACUAUAUCUUUAAUAACAACAACACAGAAGUGCAAAAUAUUCUCAAAGCGAUGCAAAUAUUUUGGAAAAGUCUUACUAAUAUUCGAGCAUUGAAUAAGUUGUCAUUCUAUAAGUUUUAUGGAGUAAACCGGGUUACAAAAUUUUGAUCGUAAACGUGUCUGAGGUGAAUAGUUUCAUUGGGCAACUUCUCUUUAUUCCAGAGACAACGCUGUCAAGUAUGACAUAGAGAGUGUUUCUUUUGAAUUCAAUUUCUUCUUUACUGCAAUUUCCAUCCACUUCUUCAUGUAUGUGGCAUUGAUCUCUUGAAGAACUAAGUUUCUUUCAUUGACUGACUGAAGGAUGUUAAACCAUAUGAAUGCCUUCAAAACGCAGUCUAAUUUGCUCAUUUAUUUCAAAAUUCCAUCAACGUCCCGACGAGUUUCUGCUGUAAGGUUGAGUUUUUUAACUUCGUUCAAAACGUUUAUCAACUCGGGAACAUUUUUUGCAAAUGACUUGACGGCCACCAUUCUGGUAGACCACCUUGUAUUAGAAAGGGAGGGAAAUGAAUUGGGGCUUUUGGAUUUCAGAAUUUCAAAAUAUAUGUGAUGCUAUCGAAAAUAUUGAAACAUUUUUGAACGGCACCAAAAAAAGUUAUUGCUUCAGGGCAGCAUUUAGCCGAGUCACUCCAGUCAAAUUCAGCGUAUGGGCACCAUAGGGGGAAAGAACUGCUUGCUUAUUUUUAAGCUGGAUGUAAUUUUUCGUUCUUUUAUAUUUACCGCUCAUAUUACUACCAUUAUCGUAGCCCUAUUCACAGCAAUCUUCCAAAGGAAUGUUGUGAUUUUCCAAUGUUUUGAAAAUUAAAGUGGCAAUAGCUACGCCAUUUUUUUCAUGAUAAUCUACAAAAGCGAGAAAACAUUCUUUUAUAAAUGAUCACAACGUUUAAAUAAAUGUUCGAAUUAAUCACCUAUCAAAAGCAAUCUAAUUUUUAACUAUUCACCUAAUUUUUUGGACAUACGGGGGAAUCACAGCCUGGUUAUGUUAAGAAUAAUGUAGUCCAUGGACGUUUUGCAAAGGCGGUGAAAGGAAAUACCGGUCAAAUGCAAUUGCCUCAAAAUCAACCAAGCGGAAGUGUUUAAAAUAUGAUUUUAAAUCUUACCUAAUAUAUGACACAAUACAAUGCAAAAUAUGAUUCAAGAUUUAAUCAAAGCGCAAUUUAAUAUUUGUAUAUGGAAUGCCAACGGUGUUAACCAACAUAAAUUGGAGAUCAUUAGAUUUCUAAAUGAAAAAAAAUAUCGAUGUAAUUCGAUAUAAUGUUACGAUCGGAAACACAUCUAACAAAUAAGAACAAUUUUUUAUAACCGUGUUGGUAAGAAAUCGACUAAUAAAAAUGCUUUGAAACUCAUGCGACACCCAGUUGCAAGCUACAAAAAUAUUACUAAACAAAUUACAGACGAAUAU